CCUUAUACUCUCCAACCCUUUGUUCUCCAGCCAUCUUCUUCUCUUGUUCAUCUUCUUUCUCUAGCUCUAGACGCAUAGCUCUUUAUUAUUUUUAUUUUUUACUUUUUCCUAAACUUUUCCUGUUGAUAUUUUGGAAUUUUCAUGAAGUGGGCUUUGUUUUUUCUAAAACACUCUAAUAGAUGUAGAGUUUUGUCAUGUUACUAGCUAGCUAUGUAUAUGUUGAGCUUUUGACAUUUCUCUCAUCCUUUUAGGGUUAGGUUUAGGGGGUAGGGGCUUCAUGCUGCUUGAUCAUGAGGAGGAGUGUUAAUUCAUAUGAAUAUGUGACGGAAAAAAGCGGUAAGUUUUAAUCAGUCAUUGUUUGCUAGUGUAGCACCAUCAAGAUUCACAUUGGCUUUAGUAUUGAAUAAGUGACAAAUGAGAAUCUUGAUGAUGCUGCAUUGGCCAUAAAUGGCUAUUCCAAGCAAUGAGAAGAAUUCAAAAGAUCGUGUAAGUAAACGUACUACAGGUGUAUUUGAUGAAUAUGCUGUACCUUCAUCAGGAAUAUUAUUUUGAGCACCACAAGAUGCUUGUAGGGGGCUAUUCUCUCUCUCUCUCUCUCUCUCUCUCUCUCUCUCUCUCUCUCAUUGUGUGAUCACUGCUACCCCCCUUUGAUUUCAGGGACUGCAGCAGCUUUUUCAUAGUCUCGUUUGCAAUCAUGGAUUAAUGCGAGAUCUAUCAGUACGAUUGUUGCCUCAUGCAUUAAUUAUGUGCCUUCUUUAUUC